GGGCGGGAGAUGCUUACACAUGCAGUCGAUUCAAGUUACCUUCGGGUAAUGAGGAUGGCGGACGGGUGAGUAACGCGUAAGGAACUUGCCUCUUGGACUGGGACAACUGUUGGAAACGACAGCUAAUACCGGAUAUCAUGAGAUUCUCGCAUGGGAAACUUAUGAAAGCUAUAUGCGCCAAGAGAGAGCCUUGCGUUCCAUUAGCUAGUUGGUGGGGUAACGGCCCACCAAGGCGACGAUGGAUAGCCGGCCUGAGAGGGUGAACGGCCACAAGGGGACUGAGACACGGCCCUUACUCCUACGGGAGGCAGCAGUGGGGAAUAUUGGACAAUGGGCCACAAGCCUGAUCCAGCAAUUCUGUGUGCACGAUGAAGGUCUUCGGAUUGUAAAGUGCUUUCAGUUGGGAAGAAGAAAGUGACGGUACCAACAGAAGAAGCGACGGCUAAAUACGUGCCAGCAGCCGCGGUAAUACGUAUGUCGCAAGCGUUAUCCGGAUUUAUUGGGCGUAAAGCGCGUCUAGGCGGAAAAAUAAGUCUGAUGUUAAAAUGCGGGGCUCAACUCCGUAUUGCGUUGGAAACUGUUUUUCUAGAGUACUGGAGAGGUGGGCGGAACUACAAGUGUAGAGGUGAAAUUCGUAGAUAUUUGUAGGAAUGCCGAUGGAGAAGUCAGCUCACUGGACAGAUACUGACGCUGAAGCGCGAAAGCGUGGGGAGCAAACAGGAUUAGAUACCCUGGUAGUCCACGCCGUAAACGAUGAUCACUAGGUGUUGGGGGGUCGAACCUCAGCGCCCAAGCUAACGCGAUAAGUGAUCCGCCUGGGGAGUACGCACGCAAGUGUGAAACUCAAAGGAAUUGACGGGGACCCGCACAAGCGGUGGAGCAUGUGGUUUAAUUCGACGCAACGCGAGAAACCUUACCAGCGUUUGACAUCCUAAGAAGUUUCCAGAGAUGGAUUCGUGCCGGCUUGCCGGAACUUAGUGACAGGUGGUGCAUGGCUGUCGUCAGCUCCUGUCCUGAAAAGUUUGGGUUAAAUCCCCCAACGAGCGCAACCCCUAUUGGAUGUUGCUACCAUUAAGUUGAGCACUCCUGCGAUACUGCCUGCGAUGAGCAGGAAGAAAAGGGGGGGAGUGAAGUCCAAUUCUUCAAGGCCCCUUAUAACCCGGGGGUACCACACUGGUUCAAUGGGGGGUACAAAAAAAUUUCCCACUCCCCCGAGAGGGAGCAAUCUCUUUAAACUGUCUCUAG
rnacentral:rRNA from 1 species